GACGAACGCUGGCGGCGUGCUUAACACAUGCAAGUCGAACGGAAAGGCCCUGCUUUUGUGGGGUGCUCGAGUGGCGAACGGGUGAGUAACACGUGAGUAACCUGCCCUUGACUUUGGGAUAACUUCAGGAAACUGGGGCUAAUACCGGAUAGGAGCUCCUGCUGCAUGGUGGGGGUUGGAAAGUUUCGGCGGUUGGGGAUGGACUCGCGGCUUAUCAGCUUGUUGGUGGGGUAGUGGCUUACCAAGGCUUUGACGGGUAGCCGGCCUGAGAGGGUGACCGGCCAGAUUGGGACUGAGAUACGGACGAGACUGCUACGGGAGGCAGCAGUGGGGAAUAUUGCACAAUGAGCGGAAGCCUGAUGCAGCAACGCCGCGUGCGGGAUGACGGCAUUCGGGUUGUAAACCGCUUUCGCCUGUGACGAAGCGUGAGUGACGGUAAUGGGUAAAGAAGCACCGGCUAACUACGUG
rnacentral:rRNA from 1 species